rnacentral:misc_RNA from 1 species
CUGUGAGAUUACAUAUGCAUAUAGUGUUAAUGUUAUAAGAGUGUAGUAUCUACUCACAAAGUUAUCAGGUUAAAUAGUUUUAUCAACUAAUAAAAAUGUUAUUGCAUAACUAAUGUUAUAUACUGUAGCCCUGCCACGAUAUCCAGCGAGAAUUAUUUUGCUGAGUAUCGUAGUAAAAGUUAAGAUAUGAUGUUGAGAAUUUUUUUGAGUCGUGCAACAACAUUAACAGCAAACUAUAAUACAAAUCUAUCUUUUUAAAAGUUUGUAU